AUUCCAUAUGAUGAAACUUGGAUUAUUCUCACGACGGUCGUCUGAAAUGGACACCCUAACCGGUGUACUGAUGCAUUGUUCCAAUUCUUUCUGAUGGUC